GCAUAACACAUGCAAGUCGAGGGACCGGCGGAUGGGUGAGUAGCGCGUACGUAACCUACCUUGUACAGUGGGAUAGGCAUUGGAAACGGUGUAUAAUACCACGUAAUGGAAGUUGGUAUAAGAUGGGCGUGCGUAGGAUUAGAUAGAUGGUAGGGUAAAGGCUUACCAUGUCUAUGAUCUUUAGGGGUUCUGAGAGGAAGGUCCCCCACAUUGCAACUGAGAUACGGUGCAAACUCUUACGGGAGGCAGCAGUGAGGAAUAUUGGUCAAUGGGCGGAAGCUUGAACCAGCCAUACCGCGUGCAGGAAGGCGGCCUAUGGGUUGUAAACUGCUUUUAUAUUUGAAUAGGAAAUUAGGGUACGAAUAAGUAUCGGCUAACUCCGUGCCAGCAGCCGCGGUAAUACGGAGGAUACGAGCGUUGUCCGGAUUUAUUGGGUUUAAAGGGUGCGUAGGCGGUUAAUUAGGUCUAUGGUAAAAUAGUUAUGCUUAACAUGAUUAUGCUGUGGAUACCGGUUGGCUAGAAUAUAAGUGGCGUAGGCGGAAUGAAGCGAGUAGAGGUGACAUUCAUAGAUAUGCUUUGGAACACCGUUCGCGUAGGCGGCUUACGAUAAUUGACGCUGAGGCACGAGAGCGUGGGUAUCGAACAGAAUUAGAUACUCUGGUAGUCCACGCUGUAAACGAUGAUAACUAUAUGUCGGCGUGUCGGUGUAGGAGUGAAAGCGAUAAGUUAUCCACCUGGGGAGUACGAUUGCAAGGUUGAAACUCAAAGGAAUUGACGGGGGCCCGCACAAGCGGAGGAGCAUGUGGUUUAAUUCGAUGAUACGCGAGGAACCUUACCCGGGCUUGAACGUGCGAGGUGCUGCAUGGUUGUCGUCAGCUCGUGCCGUGAGGUGUCAGGUUAAGUCCUAUAACGAGCGUAACCCUUGUUGAUAGUUACCAGCGCGUGGGGACUCUAUUGAUACUGCCGGUGUAAGCCGGAGGAAGGGGGGGAUGACGUCAAAUCAGCACGGCCCUUACGUCCGGGGCGACACACGUGCUACAAUGGUUAACAGAGGGCAGUUAUACAGAGAUGUAACACGAAUCUUUUUAGUCAUAGUACGGAUGGAGUCUGCAACUCGACUUCAGAAGAUGGAUUCGCUAGUAAUCGCAGAUCAGCCAUGCUGCGGUGAAUACGUUCCCGGGCCUUGUACACACCGCCCGUCAAGCCAUGGGAGUUGGUGGUACCUAAAGAGCGUAGCGUUUAAGGGUAAUGCUAAUAACUGGGGC
rnacentral:rRNA from 2 species